CGUUCAAUACAUCUCUAACCGGAGAGGAUUAACAACAAAACAACCACUAAUCAAGAGCAAAUCCAAUUCUUAUUACACAGUUUCGUUUUUAUUUUCUGUUCCCUCUUUAUUUUUCUUAACUUUUUUCAUUUCACGGGAAAGGAGUAGUUGAAGACAGAAACACAGUUUUCUCAAAUUUGUUUGCAUUGAAAAUUUAUCAGUAAGAACAGAUCAACAUUUUUUGGAAUCUUCCAAAUCGCAUUUUUGGAAUCUUUCAAAUCUAAUGCGAUCGCACAAUAAGUUGUGGAAGACAUGAAUUGGGUUCAACGAAAGGUCCACCUUUACAAUGUGACUUUUGGGCUUUAUAUGUUGGAUUGGUGGGAGCGUUGUUCAUUCAAUAUUUUGGUGAUUGUACUAAUGUGUUUUGUAGUACGGUAUAUUACACAGUUCUUCAAGAGAUAUAUGUAUUGUGUAAUACUGCAUAGAAUGUUUAAUAUGAAUGGGAAUGGAUUCUCUCUAAAGUGACAUGAGAAUCCAUUUAAAUCCUCACCUACUAUGAUAAAGAAGAGAAAAAGAAAACAUGAGAACAAAACACAGAGAGGAUCUUUUUCCGUCGAUAAGUCAGAGAUAUAAUUUUUUACACUUAUGUAAACUUAUACAAGCCAAAAAAAUCAAUUGAACUGCUCCAGAGCACAUUCUUGGCCUUCAUUUUAGCUAAUGUAAAAUCUUUUGCAUCACAACAUGGCAUUCUAUGAGCCUUUCGUUAGAAUUUGUGGUGCGGGCUUGCUGCAAGAGAACUUUGAACAGUGAAGAAGUUGAUGGAGAAUGCACUUAGAAACCUCCAAAGCGUGUGUUUCCACUCUAACCUUUAGGUAUAUUCUGUGCAUUAUUUAGAAGCAAAAUCAUUUGCAUAUGAAGAUGCCUAUGUAGAUCUUCACUUGAGGGUUUAAUUUAGUUGCAGUUGGUGUGUCUGGCAUAGCUGAUGCUGACUAGAAAGUGUCUUGUAGCAGUGUGAUAUGGACCAAUUUGAGAGUUUCUUAGAUGUGUGAUACUGUCACCAAUCUCAUUCAAACUAUUUAUUUUGCUUAUAAGCUUGUUUUAGGUGUCAAUUGGUAUUUUUUUACAUUGUAAUUAUUAUUGGUAAUGUUCAUUAUUAAGUGUUUUGAUAAUUUGAAAUUAUUAGCAGAUUCAAUGUAAACUAAUGUUUGGAUUUUGGUUGUAAGAAUUGUCUACAUUUAAUGUUAUAGUGUCUCGAAUAGGUUUUCCUCCUAUUGAAGGAACCUAUGCGGAUGAGAAAGAAAAAAAUGUUAAAUGGGAAAGGUUGGAUCAAUUUGGCGAUUA